UAGGGAAUCUUCCGCAAUGGGCGAAAGCUUGACGGAGCAACGCCGCGUGAGUGAUGAAGGUCUUCGGAUCGUAAAACUCUGUUAUUAGGGAAAAAAAAAUGUGUAAGUAACUAUGCACGUCUUGACGGUACCUAAUCAGAAAGCCACGGCUAACUACGUGCCAGCAGCCGCGGUAAUACGUAGGUGGCAAGCGUUAUCCGGAAUUAUUGGGCGUAAAGCGCGCGUAGGCGGUUUUUUAAGUCUGAUGUGAAAGCCCACGGCUCAACCGUGGAGGGUCAUUGGAAACUGGAAAACUUGAGUGCAGAAGAGGAAAGUGGAAUUCCAGGUGUAGCGGUGAAAUGCGCAGAGAUAUGGAGGAACACCAGUGGCGAAGGCGACUUUCUGGUCUGUAACUGACGCUGAUGUGCGAAAGCGGGGGGAUCAAACAGG
rnacentral:rRNA from 1 species